rnacentral:rRNA from 1 species
CAAGAGCGUAUGUAAAAGUUGUUGCAGUUAAAAAGCUCGUAGUUGAACCUUGGGUUUGGUUGGCCGGUCCGCUUUUUUGCGAGUACUGGAUUCAACCGAGCCUUUCCUUCUGGCUAACCAGUCGUUUCGGCGGCUGGCGAACCAGGAUUUUUACUUUGAGAAAAUUAGAGUGUUCAAAGCAGGCAUUAGCUUGAAUAUAUUAGCAUGGAAUAAUAGAAUAGGACGUUAUGGUUCUAUUUUGUUGGUUUCUAGGACCAUCGUAAUGAUUAAUAGGGACGGUCGGGGGCAUCAGUAUUCAGUUGUCAGAGGUGAAAUUCUUGGAUUUACUGAAGACUAACUACUGCGAAAGCAUUUGCCAAGGACGUAUUCAUUAA